rnacentral:lncRNA from 1 species
AGUGAAGGGAUGAGAGCCAAAACACCUACAGAAUGGGCCAAAGAAACGAGGAUGAAUUGCCACAUCAUCUGGUUCUGAGUUCUGAGAUAUUCACAAGUCCCCUUAGAAAACAACUCAGGCAAGAGAGUUACAUCACCUAGGAGCCCGUUCCACCCUUAUGUCACAGUGCUUCAUGUGUACAGGACUAAGAAGAAAGUCACAUCACCUAGAUGAUAGACCCAGAGACACGUCACAAAGCCUUCCUGAAAGCAUGGCCCUGGCAAAAUAGUACAAUCACCUUUGUACCUGGUCUAGCAAUAUGUCAUUAUUCAAGUGUGCAGGUACCAAGGAGAGGAGCCAUACUACCUAUGUUAUAUGCCCUGUGCUAUGUCAAAAUGCCUUCUUUUCAGCAUGGCCCUGGAAGAAUGUAUCAUCUCAUAUGUGACUGGCCUAGGAAGAUGUCACUAUCCUGCCAUGUGUGCAGGGCCCAUUUUAGAGAUUAGAGUUAUGUCUUCUUCUAAGUCAUGGACCCAGUGAUAUAUCACUAUGAUGUCUGUGAGAAUGGGCAGGCAGGAAUGUAAUGUCACUUGCAUUCUAGAUCCAGUGAUGUCACAAUUCUUACUGAGGGCAGAGCCCAGUCAGAAGAGUCAUAUCUUUUACAGGUUGGCCCAAGUAGAUGUCAAAAACCCCUAUGGAUUAGAUUUACAAUACCACACAUCUCUUGUUUUCAUGUAGGAGAGUUGCCUGCAUUCAUCUGUGAUGAUGAAAGUCCUUACUGUCAGCCAAGUGUGCAUAUGAGACUCACAAUUUCCUCUGUUUGCUAACCACUAUUAUGACACUCUCUAUUCAACCCAACGGUUUUAUAAAACAUUUGUCAUUGUUAUAAA